UACAUUUCACACAACAAAAGCCCUACCUCUCUUUUGUCCUUACGGCUCCGAUGACCGCGCCAGUUUGAAUGAAAAUCAUAAAAUCUCG
rfam:Paenibacillus sp. TCA20 DNA, contig: PspTCA2nb04.